GGGGCUAUAGCUCAGCUUGGGAGAGCGCAUGACUGGCAGUCAUGAGGUCAGGGGUUCGAGCCCCCUUAGCUCCACCA
rnacentral:tRNA from 1 species